AUCCCAGUCUAACUUUUUUAAGCUUUUUUUUUGAAAAUCUAAUUUAUUGUAUUGAAAUUUAUUGUAUUGAUAAAUUCGGACAUGUUUAACCAUUUUACUCGUAUAGUAAAUUCAAAGGUGGAGCUCAUGUUGCAUAUUUACUAUGCUAGCUGCUUUUCCAUGGGGGGGGGAGUAGGGUCAUAAUUCCAAGGGGGUGUUUAUUGUUUUCCAAAGGGGGCUUGUUCACUGUCUUUCAUUGUAAAAUCUGUUGCAGACAAUACUUGGUUGGUUAGGGUCGAAGGUUUUUUUUCCAAAGGGGGGGCAACAGUGAAAAAAAUUCAUUUCCAGAGGGGGCUAAACACUAUUCCAGAUGGGGCAAAACAUCUUUCCUAAGGGGUGUCGAGACAGUAUUUCGGUUGAUUCCAGAGGGCUCAAACAGUAAAAUAU